AGCAGUAGGGAUCUUCCGCAAUGGACGAAAGUCUGACGGAGCAACGCCGCGUGAGUGAAGAAGGUUUUCGGAUCGUAAAACUCUGUUGUGAGGGAAGAACAAGUACCAAUUAACUACUGGUACCUUGACGGUACCUCACCAGAAAGCCACGGCUAACUACGUGCCAGCAGCCGCGGUAAUACGUAGGUGGCAAGCGUUGUCCGGAAUUAUUGGGCGUAAAGCGCGCGCAGGCGGUCCUUUAAGUCCGAUGUG
rnacentral:rRNA from 1 species